CACUACAUUUAGCAAGCCAGCAUUUAUCAUUGUGGCCACUCAUUUCGACCAGGCAAAAUGUGAGAGCACUAGCCUUAGAGGAGACACUGAAGGAGAAGAAUGCAGAGCUACAAUCCUGUCUAAAUGAGUUCCUUAAUCUCUCUAUAUUUUAUAAUGGUGACUAAAAUGAGCUGGUCUUUCCCGUUGACAACCUUUGCAAGUGGAUUUGUAAGAAGAUAUUGGCUGAUAUACAUGUACGUGAGCAUAUGACGUCUCAAUUCAAAUCUAUUAGAUUCAGUGUUCCAAUACCAAUACGUUGGUACAUGUUUGAGAUCAAGAUGAAUGAAGAGGGAUUAGUCUGUGAUAAGGAAGUGAUAUCACUUAAGUCAUGUUACACUAUUGGUAUCAAAUUACAUGUAGGAAUGAGUCAAUCAGAUGUUGACCAAUGUCUAGUGUACCUUGAUUCAUUUACUCUCUGUAUCUACUACUCCAGUAUCCUCCAUCAUGUUGUCUUCACUGAUCUUCAGUUUCUAGUAGACUUUCUCUCCAAUAUUGUCAGACUAUCAUUUGUGGAUUAUAUAUAGCAGUUAUUACCUGAUGGAGUCAGCUUGUCUCCCGAUACUCAACUUAGGCUAAAAAGAGACGGAGUUUUUGAUGAGUCCCUACUGGAUAGUCUUGGACUGACUUUCAUUUCUAAUCUGUUCUCAAAGUCCAAAUUACUUUGCUUACUGAAGUACCUUUGCUUGGUCUCUUUUAUUAUUUCCUCUACUGGUCCACCUCGUUAUUUUCUACCAAUUGUUUUUCCACCGGAAAAAUCACCAAAGAACAGAAAGAGGCCUUCACUGAAACCUGUGACCCACUGGUCAUCUCAUUCAAUAGGUUUGUUUUCAACAUUGAUUGUUUCUCUGUUAAGUUGAGAGGAGAGGCCUCACUUUUGUAUUGACAUGAUCCUAGAGCGUCUAUCAGCCAGUGCUGCUGCGUUAGACAUAUAUGCUGUUGUGACAUAUUUUCACCAGAAGCACAGAAGACGUGAGACUGAUAAGAAUCCUCAUCCUAUCAAAGUAUCAUACAUCCAAGAGAAACCCUCCUGAGAUCAGGUGCAGUAUUGAGAGAUCUUCAACCCAUUGCAUUAACUGAUGAGAGACGAAGUUGCUGGUUAUUAGAUCCAGUUGCUCUAUCAGUUGUUCCUAUUGACAAUCUUUUACCAGAAGGUUCUGUAUUAAAUGAGUCUCAUGCUCCUGUUAUACUACAAGCCAUCAAUAAGAUA